rnacentral:misc_RNA from 1 species
GUGAAUCAUCGAAUUUUUGAACGCAAAUUGCGCUUCCUAGCAUCCCGGGAAGUAUGCCUGUUUAGGGGCAGGAUUAACAAAAAAAUCGGGUUGGGUGCAAAUUGUUGCGUUUCCGGAGGUUUGGCUAUCUUAACUUUUUUUGGUAAGGGGCUUAAAAUUGACCUUUUUUGCGCAUUUUUAGACGUACAUAAAUUUUUUUUUUUUUUGUCUUUUCUUAAUUCCAAAAUCUUAUUAGAUUCGAUCACAUCG